CCUACGGGAGGCAGCAGUAGGGAAUCUUUCACAAUGAGCGAAAGCCUGAUGGAGCAACGCCGCGUGCAGGAUGAAGGCCUUCGGGUUGUAAACUGCUUUUAUAAGCGAGAAAUAUGAUGGUAACUUAUGAAUAAGGAUCGGCUACAAACGUGCCAGCAGCCGCGGUCAUACGAAGGAGCCGAGAAGUGUCCGGAGUGACUGGGUGUAAAGAGGUGCGUAGGUGGUAUAAUAAGUAGCUAGUGAAAUCUUGUGGCUCAACAAUUCAGACUAUUAGCGAAACUGUUAAGCUCGAGACAGUUAGGGGUAACUGGAAUUUCUAGUGAAGGAGUGAAAUGCGUAGAUAUUAGGAAGAACACCAAUGGCGUAGGCAGGUUACUGGGUCUAUACUGACACUGAGGCACGAAAGCGUAGGGAGCAAACAGGAUUAGAUACCCGUGUAGUC
rnacentral:rRNA from 1 species